UACAGAGGGUGCGAGCGUUAAUCGGAAUUACUGGGCGUAAAGCGUGCGUAGACGGUUUCGUAAGUCGAGUGUGAAAGCCCCCGGCUCAACUGGGGAGGGUCAUUCGAUACUGAUCGACUCGAAGGCAGGAGAGGGUAGUGGAAUUCCCGGUGUAGUGGUGAAAUGCGUAGAUAUCGGGAGGAACACCAGUGGCGAAGGCGACUACCUGGCCUGUUCUUGACGCUGAGGCGCGAAAGCUAGGGGAGCAAACGGG
rnacentral:rRNA from 1 species